rnacentral:misc_RNA from 1 species
AAAAUAAAUUUUCGCAAAAAAUGGGACUUUGUUUUCGAAACGAUUUCUCCAGUUUGCUAGAAGUCCUAUCCAGAUGCCAAUGAGUCACUGAUUUCAAAUCUUUUUGUUUAGAGAUUUUGACGCCGGUACGUCUGGUUUUGCUUCUGUGGGUACAGCAUGUUGGGAAACAAAGAAUUCAGGGUUCAUCACUUUUAUAAACUAUGCCAGGCCCCGAGACCUAAAUGAUACAGUAGUAACACUUGCACACGAGUUUGGACAUAGUUUGGGCUCAAAACACGACGAGGAGUAUGAGGAUGAGGAUUGCGACGACAACUUUAUAAUGUCGUCUUUUCUCAACCAAACUACGCCAGACGAGUUUAGUAACUGUAGUAUCAGAGCAAUACAGGAGAAGUUGACUGAGGUUUUGAACUCUGAAAGGAAUUGUAUCCAGGAACCCAGGAAUACAGAGGUGGAGAUUGCUGUCUGUGGAAAUGGAAUAUUGGAGCCUGGAGAACAAUGUGACUGUGGAUAUGACGAGAUUUCUUGCAAUGAUCCAUGUUGUUAUCCUGCUUCGAUCAGUCAGGCAGACAGAGAUUAUAAUACUACUGGAGCACUCCCUUGUUCAACUAACCAAAGGAAAAGAUGUGUUAAUCCCCCCGGAUUAGUCUACGGAAUUUAUAUUCCUCUUGUUUUCAUCCUCAUCGCGUCCAUCCUAGUCAUUGUUCUACUCAAGAACGAUUGGUCAAGAGAUAAAACAUUGUUCAGGCAUAUAACUCAUGGUAAUAUCAAGAUAGUUGCCAGAAAGCGUCAAGGUGUUAAUAGUCUUCAGUCUUCUGAACAGGAGGCAGGUCUCUCAUCCUAGAUAUCCUGAACAGGAGGCAGGUUGACUCCUAGUAGAAUCUGAACAGGAGGCAGGUCUUCUGUAGAAUCUGAACCGGAGGCAGAUAUAUCAUCCUAGAUAUCCUGAACAGGAGGCAGGUCUUUUAAUAGAAUCUGAACAGGAGGCAGGUCUCUCAUCCUAGAUAUCCUGAAUAGGAGGGAGGUCUCCUAAUAGAAUCUGAACAGGAGGCAGGUCUCUUAGUAGAAUCUGAACAGGAGGCAGGUCUUUCAGUAGAAUCUGAACAGGAUGCAGGUCUCCUAGUAGAAUCUGAACAGAAGGCAGGUCCCUAGUAGAAUCUGAACAGGAGGCAGAUCUCCUAGUAGAAUCUGAACAGGAGGCAGGUCUCUCAUCCUAGACUACUAAACUGAAGGCAGGUCUCUUUGUAGAAUCUGAACAGGAGGCAGGUAUCCUAGUAGAAUCUGAACAGGAGGCAGGUCUCCUAGUAGAAUCUGAACAGGAGGCAGGUCUGUCAUCCUAGAUAACCUGAUAAGGAGGCAGGUCUACUAGUAGAAUCUGAACAGGAUAUGAGAAAUGUCACACAAAAAACAGGAUUAAACUAAGAACUAAGAAUGAAAGCUGAAAGAAAACAUAUGAACAAGGAAAGUACACGAGGAAACAGAAUGGAAUGAGAAAACAUAAAGAUUGAACCCGUCUCUGGAA